rnacentral:rRNA from 2 species
AAACUUUUAACAACGGAUCUCUUGGCUCUC